rnacentral:rRNA from 1 species
UACGGGGGGGCAAGCGUUGUUCGGAAUUACUGGGCGUAAAGGGUCUGUAGGUGGCCAACUAAGUCAGACGUGAAAUCCCUCAGCUUAACUGGGGAACUGCGUCUGAUACUGGUUGGCUUGAGUGCAGGAGAGGAAUGCGGAAUUCCAGGUGUAGCGGUGAAAUGCGUAGAUAUCUGGAGGAACACCGGUGGCGAAGGCGGCAUUCUGGACUGCAACUGACACUGAAAGACGAAAGCCAGGGGAGCAAACGGG